UACGAGGGGGGCGAGCGUUGUUCGGAAUUAUUGGGCGUAAGGUAGGCGCUGUGAGCGGUUCCGCAAGUCCUGUGUGAAAUCUUCGGGCUCAACUCGAAGUCUGCACGGGAAACUGCGGGGCUUGAGUGUGGGAGAGGUGAGUGGAAUUCCUGGUGUAGCGGUGAAAUGCGCAGAUAUCAGGAGGAACACCGGUGGCGAAGGCGGGUCUCUGGGCCGAUAUCAGCGCUGAGGAGCGAAAGCGUGGGGAGCGAACAGG
rnacentral:rRNA from 1 species